GACGAACGCUGGCGGCGUGCUUAACACAUGCAAGUCGAACGGAAAGGCCCUGCUUUUGUUGUGUGCUCGAGUGGCGAACGGGUGAGUAACACGUGAGUAACCUGCCCUUGACUUUGGGAUAACUUCAGGAAACUGGGGCUAAUACCGGAUAGGAGCUCCUGCUGCAUGGUGUGGGUUGGAAAGUUUCGGCGGUUGGGGAUGGACUCGCGGCUUAUCAGCUUGUUGGUGGGGUAGUGGCUUACCAAGGCUUUGACGGGUAGCCGGCCUGAGAGGGUGACCGGCCACAUUGGGACUGAGAUACGGCCCAGACUCCUACGGGAGGCAGCAGUGGGGAAUAUUGCACAAUGGGCGGAAGCCUGAUGCAGCAACGCCGCGUGCGGGAUGACGGCCUUCGGGUUGUAAACCGCUUUCGCCUGUGACGAAGCGUGAGUGACGGUAAUGUGUAAAGAAGCACCGGCUAACUACGUG
rnacentral:rRNA from 1 species